GUGGUGUGGGGCUUGUUUAAGAAGAGUUUAAUCCAAUUAGAACUCUUCCUUUAUAGCUAAUUUAAAUCAAAUAAAAAUAUCAAUAAGUUAUAAUCAUAUUAAGACUUGAUUAGACUCAAAAAGAUGAGAAUCUAAAUCUAAUUUAGAGCCUAAUUAAUUUAGACUGGAUGUCUCCUAUUUGAAGGAGGAGUCCUAGUCCAAUUGGACUCUUUCUUGUUGCCUGAGUCAAACUCAAUUUUAAUCCUAAUCCC
rnacentral:lncRNA from 1 species